rnacentral:rRNA from 1 species
AUUGAACGCUAGCGGGAUGCUUUACACAUGCAAGUCGAACGAGUGGCGGACGGGUGAGUAAUAUCUCGGAACGUGCCCAGUAGCGGGGGAUAACUACUCGAAACAGUGGCUAAUACCGCAUACCAUCGGAGCGGCCCAUAUCGGAUUAGCUAGUUGGUGGGGUAAAGGCUCACCUAGGCAACGAUCCGUAGCUGGUUUGAGAGGACGACCAGCCACAAUGGGACUGAGACACGGCCCAGACUCCUACGGGAGGCAGCAGUGGGGAAUUUUGGACAAUGGGGGAAACCCUGAUCCAGCCAUGCCGCGUGUAUGAGAAGGCCUUCGGGUUGUAAAGUACUUUUGGCAGAGAAGCGGUAUCUGCAGAAUAAGCACCGGCUAACUACGUGCCAGCAGCCGCGGUAAUAC